rnacentral:rRNA from 1 species
UACAGAGGGUGCGAGCGUUAAUCGGAAUUACUGGGCGUAAAGCGCGCGUAGGCGGCUUUGAAAGUCGGGUGUGAAAUCCCCAGGCUUAACCUGGGAACUGCAUUCGAGACUGCGUUGCUAGAGUAUGGGAUAGGGAAGUGGAAUUUCCGGUGUAGCGGUGAAAUGCGUAGAUAUCGGAAGGAACAUCAGUGGCGAAAGCGACUUCCUGGACCAAUACUGGCACUCAUGUGCGAAAGCGUGGGGAGCAAACAGG